UAAUAUGUAGGGUAACGUGCCCUAGAUAAGAGGAUAAGAUUUGGAAACGAAUGCUAAUACUCUAUAUGCCUUUAAGACUUAAGUCUGCAAGGGAAAUAUUUAUAGCUCUAGGAUCGGCCUGUACGGUAUCAGCUUGUUGGUGAGGUAAUGGCUCACCAAGGCAAUGACACCUAACUGGUUUGAGAGGAUGAUCAGUCACACUGGAACUGAGACACGGUCCAGACUCCUACGGGAGGCAGCAGUGGGGAAUAUUGCACAAUGGACGAAAGUCUGAUGCAGCAACGCCGCGUGGAGGAUGACACAUUUCGGUGCGUAAACUCCUUUUAUAUAGGAAGAUAAUGACGGUACUAUAUGAAUAAGCGCCGGCUAACUCCGUGCCAGCAGCCGCGGUAUUACGGAGGGCGCAAGCGUUACUCGGAAUCACUGGGCGUAAAGAGCGUGUAGGCGGGUUAAUAAGUCAGAAGUGAAAUCC
rnacentral:rRNA from 1 species